GUCUUCCUGCGGACAGGUGGGCACUGUGGGAGCAGGCAGCACAGAGGAACAGUGAGGACUGGGGCUGAAGCCAGGAGGAAGCUGUGCCCCCAGCAUGACAGACGUCUGGCUGCACUUUGCACUUCUAACCAGCAGAUGGCAAGCGUGUGCUGGUCUUCCUUAUGUUCCAAAAGAAGCCAGAACAGAUCACCAGCCUGCAUGUCAACCACCAUUGCACCAUGCUAAUCAACUGGGCGGCUGGAGUCAAAUGCGUGCUAGGUGGUCAGGAUACAUGACACAGCUGAGGCAGCCCUGCCCAGGCCCUUGUGAGGCAGCCUCUCUCUGCUGGGCUGAGUCUCCAGGGUGGGAGGUGUGCAUCCUCCAAGGUCCCCCUUUCCUGUGGCCAUGAGCCCAGGCCUCUGCUCUCCUUUUAUCCCUGUUGCUCCCCAAGCCUCCUGGCUCCCCCUUCCUGGUGCAGAGGAGGAGGCCAUGGGAGGUGCUCAACGCCAUCGGGGAGUGCAGAGGGGUUACACACACUCUCAUGUAGCAUCCUGUUAGCCCCACCAGGGUCAUGACCUCAGGCCGCUCACGCUAGACCUCAGGAUGGGCCUCCCCAAGGAUUUUCUCUGCGGGACAUGCAGAGGUGCUGUCUGCAGGAUGGAGGACUGAAACGUGAAAGAGAAAACGCAAAGCAUAGCUAUGCUCAGCUCCACCUACUCCCCUCGAUCUCCUUGCCCAACUCUGCGGCCUCCUCUUGUCAAGAAGCUGACUUCAUUGGUCCAUGUCUGGAUGUACCUAUACUAUGGACUGGCCUGUCGGGCCCAGCAUGCAGCUCUACCUCUGGUGGAAGUGAUGUCUUACCCUCCUACAGCUGCGGAGAAGACCCCAUUUGGCUCCAGGGCCUUUGGCUGAGCCCUGGUCCUACUCUUGGCUGCACCAGUAACUCGGUGUCAGACCAUGUACUAGCCCUUCUCAUCACUAUCUUACUUAGUCUCCCAAUUUGAAAGGGACUCAGUAAACAUCUCAUCAGAUUCUAGAACAACCCUAACUCCCUGACAGAAUGUGGAACCUGGAGCAAAUGCUUCCCAUGCUUGAGACCUUAGUCUCAUCAUCCAUAAAACAAGGGGCUGGGCUUGGAGCACUUCUAUCCUGUGAGCCUGUGAUCACUGAUCCACCGUCCAGGUGCCUGGGUGCCCUGUGGUUUGGGGACCAUCACAGGAGUGUUAGGAGCCAGAUGGUAGUGACAUCCGAGAUGUCCCUCAGGGGGCCUGGGAUGGGUUGAGACAUCAUCGAUGUCAACAUAACAUGGCUGGAGUAGGGCAAAGGGGCCAGAACCAGGAGAGGGGGCAGGAGGAUCUUGGCUUAGGGGAAAAUGGGAGCAGGCUUCAUCAAGCUUACCUUCUGAAGAGGAAGACUGAACUGCAGGAGGCCUGCCCCCUGCUGGUAGACAGAGGAGCGACUGCUUGUCACCUCUCUCCCAUCUCUGUCCUUAGCUUUCUCUUCCCCAGGGUCAGUUUGUGGCCAUUGCUGCCCACUCCUCCUACCUCGUCACUCAGUGCUCCUUCCAGGAUGGGUUCAGCAUGGCCGUGCUCCUGUUCCUCCUCAGCCUCACCACCCCCUCCCUCAACAUCUACCAGCAGACACACCUGAGGAGAAGCUGACUUAUAGGGCAGGAUCCGAGGCUGAAACUAGCAGAGCCGUCCCCACAGAGACAGCGGGGCUCGCUCCACCUGCGCCGAGCAGGUACUGAGCCUGCACUGCGUCCUAGGACGGAAGGAGGAGAAUGGCCCCCUUCCAGGGUUCAGGAGGACAAAAGCGGAACCAGCUCCUGAACUCGCUUCUGCAGCAGCACCCACCACAUGGACCUGUGACUGUGUGCAUCUCCGUCUGCUACCAGAUGGGAGCCUCUCCCGAGCAGGACUGUCUUAUUCCCUGUGUCCCACACCUGGCACAGCGCCGCGUCCAUGUGCGUUUGGAGUCUUGUAUUCCACAGUCAUGACCUCUGGUGAAGGUCGGGCUGAGGGCAUGGGCGAAGUCGAGGCUGGAUGGAUAUAUAACCUCGCAGUGGGAAACGAUGACAGAGUAUCCACGAGUGAGCGUGGGUCUGUGUGACUCCUAGUGUGGCUGUGGAAAUGGUCCCCCGUCUGUUCAUGCACUUAUAUGGUUGUACAAGUCCGUGACUGUGAGUGGGGUGGCGGAGAGGGCUGUGUGUAUAGCUCUACAGACUUGUUUUCCAGUCUGCAUGCACGUUUCCAUUUGAGUCUCUUCUGUGCGUCUCUGAGAGUGCCACAGUGCAAAUAAAAGCCACUAGGAUAACACUGAUCCUGUCCCAGGCAGGGGGCCCUGAUGCCCAGAGGGAUCUCUGCGAACAUGGAAGGGGGGAGGGGCCUCCAACGGGGUGUGAGAAGGAGACACGGGGUAGGACAAACACAGCCAUCCACUUCACAGACAGGGAAACUGAGGACCAGAAAAAGCGAAUGUACGACCGGAUCGCAUCCCUCGGCAGAAGCAAACAUCUGCGGAGCCAUUAGAGCCAGAACCGGAUCGUCUCCGCAAAGCAGCGGCCUGGGGGUGUCUCCAUGCCUCCAGGGUUCUUAUGCGUCUUUAUAAUCUCUCCCCGUCGCUGUUUCCUCCCCUCUGUAAGUUCUUAUUUUGCGAUGCCUCAACAGUCAAGAACGUUACAGAACUGUUGAAGUUUGUGAAGUGCUGUUUGGGGACUAUUUAUCCAUCAGGUGCUCUAGUUAAUUAACUCCAGCAGGCGGGCUGCGUCCUGUGGGCAAUCCUCUGAGAAGUUAUGCAGGAUGUGCACGCAUCCCACGCACUUCUGCUGACUCGGCCGCUGCAUUCGGAGGGUGGGGGCAUAUUUUAAGGCAGCCUUUUUUUGAAAAAAAAACAACAACACAUAGGAGUGAAGUCUGUUCAUUUGCUGAGCAGCCAGGAUAAAGGAAAGGGGCAUCAUUCCAGAGUUCAGAGCUCAUAUUGGUCCAGUUCUUUGUGGCUGCCUCUGUCAGAUUCAGCAUUGGGAGAGCCUGGGGGAGGCAGUGUGUGUGGGGGGGAGGGCUUGGGGGGAAAUUCUCAAUGAGCUGAAGGUGCGCCUCCUUUCCACAACUGCCCUGCACUGUGUUGUAAGACCUCCCUCCGCCUGGUUGGGGAGUGCUGUGCAGGUAUUGUUUCCUAUGAGUGUAGAAAGACUGUGUGAGUGUUAGGAGCACAAAGUGAUUCAUACUUGUCAAUACAUAGCCAAAUUCCUAAUAAUAUUGUGGAAGUUCGCAUCUAUGCACUUUUUAAGAUAGUGAUAAGCAAGAGUGAUGGUUAGAUUUUUUAAUAUAUAGCAGGAUGAACUGCUGCCCAGAGAGGGGCCAUUUGCCAAGACAAGGAGGCCCAGAGGACCCAGUGGGAAGGCCCUAUAGUCAGAAGUGAGGGAGUCACCCCAAUCUCCCAUGAGGGUCCAAGAGCUGAAGGUCUGGGUCCCUGGCUAUUGCCUCUUAAAUCUGAGUAUACCUAACUAAAGAAUAAAAGGCAUCCAAGAUGGAACAGCUCCGUGGUCCUCCUGUAGCUCAGAAUUCAGUGAAGACCCCUCCCUGCCCCAUACACACUCCUCCGUCCACUCUGCUGACCACGCCCCGGGCUGCAGGAGAGGCGCCUGAGCCAGGAAUCAGGAGAAAAGGCCAGGCCCCUUUCUUCCCCCUUCCUCUCGCUCUUGCAGGUCUCUGUGUAAAUGGAGGAACUCCUCCAAAAAAGACAGCCUCUGCCUUCUCACCUUUGUCCCUGGGCAGUCUCAGGGCAAGAUGCCCCGUUGCAAAGGAGGACUUUAAUUCAGGUUUUUGAAAUUCGAGCCCUCCAAUCCCUAUCUAGAUCUCAGGGAUAUGUGAGCUCCAGGAAGAGGCAGAAGGCUCUGCAGGGAUGAGUGGGCGGAGGAGGGAUUCGACUACCAACAAGACAAGACGGGACUGCAAGGGUCUGUAUUUCAGUGCACGAGGGGACACUAAAAUGAGGAAAGAUUGGUUUAAAAGCCCACACAGAGCGUCAUGAAGGUGGAGCCCAUGCUGGUCCUCACUCACGGGGAGGCAGCCCUGGAUUCUCAGAAGAGGCAGAGCCCGCCUGUGCCCUCCUGCUGCUGGGAGGACGUGGCCGUUCACCUCUUCUAGUGUCUUUUUCAUGUAUAGGUGCUUCCAGCUCUAAAAAAUACACUCUGGUAACAUAUCGUCAUUACAAACUCUUCUUAAAACACAAUUUAGCAGUGCACUAGUACAUAUCAGAGAAUCCCAAUUCUGCUGAGUUACAUAUAAAAUAUAAACACAAAAAUAUGAAGAAGAAUCAUCUCUAGAUGGUGAGAUUGUGGAUGCUUUUCAAAUCUUUGUAUUUUCUUAUUUUCUGCAAUGCCUAUUCUUUUUUUAUUCAUUAAAUAUAUUAUUAUAAUGUGAUGAAUUCAGGAUAUCUUGGCUGUUCUUUCUUCUGAGAAUUAUUAAAGCCUAUAUUUGAUCUGCUUA